GACGAACGCUGGCGGCGUGCCUAAUACAUGCAAGUCGAACGCAGUGGGGACGGGUGAGUAACACGUGGGUAACCUCCCAUCAGAGGGGAUAACACUUGGAAACAGGUGCUAAACCGAUACUGAUGGAUGAACCCGCGGUGCAUUAGCUAGUUGGUGGGGUAAAGGCUCACCGAGGCCACGAUCCCUAGCUGGCCUGAGAGGAUGACCAGCCACACUGGAACUGAGACACGGCCCAGACUCCUACGGGAGGCAGCAGUGGGGAAUAUUGGGCAAUGGACGAAAGCCUGACGGAGCGAUGCCGCGUGUAUGAAGAAGGUUUUCGGUUUGUAAAGUACUGUCGUCGGAGAGGCGGUAUCUACACAGAAAGCACCGGCUAACUACGUGCCAGCAGCCGCGGUAAUUC
rnacentral:rRNA from 1 species